GGGUGCGAUCAUACCAGCACUAAUGCACCGGAUCCCAUCAGAACUCCGCAGUUAAGCGUGCUUGGGCGAGAGUAGUACUNN
rnacentral:rRNA from 1 species